ACUUCUACACUCCGCAAAGGAAACGUCCAGAUAGAGACCGAUCCAGACACCCCUCCAGCAGGGAGUUAACGGGGCAGGGCCCCCAGCAGGGAGUUAAGGGGGGCAGGUCCCCCAGCAGGGAGUUAGGGGGGCCAGGGGGAGGUCCCGCAGCAGGGAGUUAAGGGGGGCAGGCCCCCCAGGACAGAGUGAAAGGGGGCAGGUCCCGCAGAAGGGAGUUAAGGGGGAUGGGGGGAGAUCCCGCAGCAGGGAGUUAAAGGGGGCAGGUCCCCCCAGGACAGAGUGAAAGGGGGCAGGUCCCGCAGGAGUUAAGGGGGAUGGGGGGAGGUCCCGCAGCAGGGAGUUAAAGGGGGCAGGUCCCCCCAGGACAAAGUGAAAGGGGGCAGGUCCCCCAGCAGAGAGUUAAAGGAGGAAGGUCCACCCAGGACAGAGUUAAAGGGGGCAGGUCCCCCAGAAUGGAGUUAAGGGGG